ACGACCUUACUUGAACAGGAUCUGUUCUAUAGGAUCGUACCUCUGUAUCCUUGAGUUCUAAGGAGACAGGAACCUAAGUCUGGUCGAUGAAUCAUGACCGUGCGAUCAGAGCGUGAUUAAUGGCUUCUGAUCUAAUGNGUAGAGGAUCGUUCUCAGCUUGUCAUCUGACGGCUGAGAUGGUUGCACGGUAGUCUGACAGACU
rnacentral:snoRNA from 1 species